GCCUCGACAAGAAAAUGGGAAUGAAAAUGGAUUUCUCCUUGGCAUCCCAUUCCUGUUCAUCUUCAGAGUUGAACAUAGCUGAAAAAUAUGCUCAAAAUGUCUAGAUUGGAUUUCAUUUCCACCUCAAUGAAAGAGUGCCAAACACGAGAUUUGUACCUGUCUGUAAAUGCUAGUAAAAUAUACAUUUCUGAAUAGAUUUUCCUUUGCCGCUCACAUUCAGGGAGUAGAAUUUGAUCCUCAAGCUAUAUCCACAGAACUUGCAAGAUCAAAUUCAAGGAGAAAUGUAAACCAGGGAGUAAAGCCUAUGUGGUUGUUGAUAAACGAACUCAAAUGGCUUCUAAUGCCCAAGAAAUUAACAUCAAAGUGAUGAUGGUAUUUGCUGAUUUAUGCAUCAAUUGAUAUUUAAAUGAGUAUGAA
rnacentral:misc_RNA from 1 species